AAGCGAGAAGCGGCGGGAGCUGCGAGGCGGCGGCGCUGCCGGCAGGGGUCAGGCUGGCCCCGUCCUCCUGCCGCGGCCUGCGCCGCCUCCCCGGAGAGGGCCUGCACCUGCGCAUGCGCCUGCGCCGCCCGCCGCCGCCGCGCGCCGAUUUGGGGGUUACUUUGUCGGAAAACCUGAAACCCCAGAAGAAUUAUGUCUUUUACUGUCAAUCCUGUGGUGACAUCAUAGUAAAAGACCGGAAAUUUCUAAGAGUUCUUCCUCUACCAAGUGAAAACUGGACUGCUUUAGUUGACGAGUGGUGUUGUCACCCUAACCCCUUUGCCAGAAGCACUUUGAACCCUCAGCAUGAUGACUGUUUUCUUGGAGACACUUUUUUUCUGUUGAAUUCAGGAAAUGAAUCACAUGUGUCUGAGUCUCCAAUGUGCUGCUCAGAGAGUGGACACCAUGCUUCUCAGAGUGGUUCCAACUUGAAAUCAGAGGAAAAUACCAGAGUAAUUUGUAAGUGCUGCAAGACAGUGCUGGGAGAAACAGUAUCAUCAGAUACCAUUAAGUAUUAUGUCACCGAGGUGAUUAUUCAACCAUCUGAGGAGAGUUUCAGCCCAACCCCAAGGUCUCAAUUCAUACAGGGCAUGGUUGCUCAGUGUCUUGUGGAAUUGUCCUCUGCCAAAAGCACGUUUAGAUUCACCGUGAAAGGGGACAAUGGAAAAAUCUAUAUUCUGAUAUGGCUUUUAAAUUCUGACACAUUGCUGGUGGAGUCUUUAGGAAAUUCCUCCUCCCACAGUGUUUUUACAUUGUUUGGAGAUGUUUUCAUGCCUAGCUCUGGACCAGUGGGGACCUGGAAUGCUGUCAAAGUCCUUUACCAGCCAUGCAUUAAAAGCAAGAAUAAGGACCUUGCUGAUGCAUGGGAAAAUGAUAUUGGAGUUCAUCCUUUAAAGUUUCCAUCAGAAACAUGUUUGGAAUUAUUGCUGAUACUGGGUUUGAGUACUACUUCUCUGCCACCUUCGCUUCGAUUCAUGAACUCUUUUCAGGUUUAACUUGCAGGAUUGGGGUUGGAGCACAGUCUGCUUUCAAAAAAACACUUGAAAGCUUUUAUCUUCAAUUAUCUUACUGUUGAGGGAAAGAUAUCCUAAAAAUGGUGAAUAUUGUAUUUUCUUCUGAAGCUUCAAGGAUUUCAUCCCUAACUUAUGUUACUUAUGACUCUUCCACAUAGGUUGCCUUUUUGAAGAUGUGAAGAAUGCAGAUAAUCCAUGUUGAAAACUAUUCUCAAAAUAAUUUUCAGCAGAUAACUUUCAGAAAAAAAUCAACUGGCAAUACAAAACAAAAUGAGGGUGUGGUAUGUGAUUCUUCACAUCUGGAUGUGUUUCAAAACCAAAGACAGAGUUAACUUUUGCAUCCCAUACAUUCUUAGAUGUCUUUCUAAGAGUGACUUACCUGCCACUCCUGUUACAUCCAGCUGGGAUGACUGUUACCAUCUCUUCAUUGCCAAAAGGAAAUUAUCUGUGUAUCUUAGUACUAUCUUUAUCAGACAGCGGUUGAUAGUGACCUGUAUGACCUUAGGAAAAUUCAUAACUGGUAGCAAAGAUUGGUUUUAAAAUAUUUAAUGUCAUGGAUGAUAACAUAGGUUCUUUACUUGCUUUAUUCUGGUAAAGUAAGAGGUCCAACUUUAAAAUACAAAAUCUGUUUUUUGUCAAAUUUACAUGUUUAUCAUAUAUAUUGUUUCCAUGUUAAGGUUUACCUUCCUUCUUGAGAGAGAAGGAAGACAGUUUCUGUAUUCCUACAAGACAUGUAGAAUUUUUUAAAAUUGAUAAUGUUUUGGAGAAUCAAGGUUUUAUGGUUAUUUGGAAUAAUUAUUCCUUCAACUCCAAAAAAA